CUACUGAUGUAAGACAUAAUUGGCUUUAACAAAGUUGCUAACAUUUUUCAUAAACUCCGUGAAAGCCAGAUACUCUCUGUAUGCCAUCACGUCCGCUUCACACCGCACCAACAGAGACGGCAAAAACAGCCACAGCCCCGUCACCCCCACAAACAUCAUUGCUAAUGGCCCCGACACAGCGGCAGGCAACCGCCAUUUACCCGCAAACGCCUGCUUGAGCAUAAUCUCAACGGCCAAACACACCCCGUGGAGUAGAAAGAAGCACGUGAGCUCCCACGUGGGCUUCGUUCGUCCAAUGUAAUAGAAGAUCAGCUCAUGCAUCACCGCAGACACGAAAAAGGACGCGAGCACAGCUGGCAGCGGAGCCCACCUGUUCCCGAUCACGCGUCUGGAGAUGCUCCGGACGGGGUCGUAUACGGUAGGGUGCAGGAUUCUACUGACCAUGAUGUUCCACCUUCGUCCCCAGAAGUCCUGGAGUGACGUGGCCAGGUAAGGCUCGUCGAACUGCGGCUCGAAAUCGACACCGAGGAAGGCUUGAGCCAAGGAAGCAACUAAUGCCAUGACAAGUUCAAGGCCAGUGUACAUGUAGAUUGAGUAGAGGAAGAGUAUGAUUUUUGGGUGGAUAUAUUGUUUGUUGUGGAAAACGUGUAGAGAUGUGGCAAGGAUCAAAGCUUUGAUCGCAUAGUUAAAAGGAGAUUUCUGGCCUCUUGGGGCAGAUGUUGAAGACCCUGAUUUUAUUUUGUUCUCAACUUUUCGGAAUUUGAUUGGAAGGCAAGCCAAGGGGAUGAAAUGGGAGAUGCAGAUGGGUGGGGUGGUAGAGAGAGGGCCUUUGCCAUAGGCAAAGAGUAGGAGCUUGAAGUUGGCAAGCCAGGCAAGAAAGAAAGAGGAAGGGCCUCCAAGGCAAAUGGAGGUGAGAUUGAGAGGAAGGAAGAAGAAGAAAGAUAUGACCGGAAGUAUGGCAAGGAGCCUGGUUAAACCAGGAGAAGUGAGCUUACCUAUGGUGUGACAGUAGGACAGUGAAGCCACAGCUAAGAUCCAUACCAUGAUGAAGUUGGGUAUUUCUCCUUCCAUUUUUCUUUGCUUGCUUAAAUUUGAUUUCUUAAUUGUGUGUUGUGGUGGUGAGAGAUAUUUGAGAGAGAGAGAGAGAGAGAGAGAGAGAGAGAGAGA
rnacentral:lncRNA from 1 species